rnacentral:rRNA from 1 species
AUGAACGACAAAUCCCGAAAAUCCCGACCAACAUGCCCUUCGUCACCGGCUCAGCGGCGCACUAUGUUUUCAAUUUCUCAGCCGCCACUGUGUCCUCAGAGGCUCCUCGCCGGCUGGGACCGGUGCCCGAAAACGUACUCGUCAAGCCCUACUGCUCCCAGAACCAGCCCCCACGCCACCUCUACCAUCGGGGGAAGCUUCAUUGGACGACGCAUCCUCAGGCCACGAGCACGGGCAAGACCGCAAGAUCUUGGCGUUCGACACGCUCUCCGAGGAAUUCCGGCUAAUAUCGUGCCCGGAGUGGCCAAGGGGCCGAUACUCCUACCUGCACGACCUCUGCCUCAUGGAGUUGCACGACAGGCUAGCCAUAACGACCACUCUACUCUGUGGCGAUUUCAUGGAGCUCUGGAUGCUCGAGGACUAUGA